UCCUCCUACAAACGUGUGUUUUUGUUCUCUGUCCUUGGACAUGUAAGAAUUGGAGACAAAGAAACGUGGUAGAUUUAGAAAGGUCUGGGACCAGCUUGUCUCCCCCCCUCCCCCCCCCCACACACACAGGAUCAACCAUCCCACAGAG
ensembl:snoRNA Gm25967 predicted gene, 25967